rnacentral:rRNA from 1 species
UGGGAGCGUACCCUUCGGUUCGGAACAACCCAGGGAAACUUGGGCUAAUACCGGAUACGUCCGUAAGGAGAAAGAUUUAUCGCCGAAGGAUCGGCCCGCGCCUGAUUAGCUUGUUGGUGAGGUAACGGCUCACCAAGGCUACGAUCAGUAGCUGGUCUGAGAGGAUGACCAGCCACACUGGGACUGAGACACGGCCCAGACUCCUACGGGAGGCAG